GACGAACGCUGGCGGCGUGCUUAACACAUGCAAGUCGAACGGAAAGGCCCUGCUUUUGUGGGGUGCUCGAGUGGCGAACGGGUGAGUAACACGUGAGUAACCUGCCCUUGACUUUGGGAUAACUUCAGGAAACUGGGGCUAAUACCGGAUAGGAGCUCCUGCUGCAUGGUGGGGGUUGGAAAGUUUCGGCGGUUGGGGAUGGACUCGCGGCUUAUCAGCUUGUUGGGGGGGUAGUGGCUUACCAAGGCUUUGACGGGUAGCCGGCCUGAGAGGGUGACCGGCCACAUUGGGACUGAGAUACGGCCCAGACUCCUACGGGAGGCAGCAGUGGGGAAUAUUGCACAAUGGGCGGAAGCCUGAUGCAGCAACGCCGCGUGCGGGAUGACGGCCUUCGGGUUGUAAACCGCCUUCGCCUGUGACGAAGCGUGAGUGACGGUAAUGGGUAAAGAAGCACCGGCUAACUACGUG
rnacentral:rRNA from 1 species